GGGGCAAGGUUGAGAGUUUCGUGUGCUCCUUAUUUAGGUCUAUUCGAUGCAGUUUUGUACCUGAACAUCUGUGGUGAUGUACUGUUCCUGGAAAUGUUUUAUGAUAAUUGAACUCAAGGAAAAGCACACAAUUAAGGGCAAGAAAGUAUAAACUUAUGUUUGGCAAUGGGUUGGCAGGUGUUGUGACUCUGAUCCUUUUUUUUCUGGUUCAAGCUGAGGCUCGGAGCCACUUGAGCAUUUGUGUUUUCAUGUUCCUUUCAAUUUGCGCUUUGUCCGUCCCCGCAAAAAAGAACAGUGCGCUCUGUACGUUUGUUUUCAGCAAUGUGUGUUUGGGCAGCUCCAGUGUAGAAUUUCAGAGAAGAGAAAGAAUCUUUAUAUUUGUUAGUGUGCCUCUGGGAAAUGGGGCUCGCUGCUGCAACCUGCUGCAAUAGUUGCAGUAGCAGUGGCUACUGCAUCUGAUCUCGGUUCCAAUCAAUUUUCUAGCACCAGUAGCAGUGGCUACUGCAUUUGAUCUCGGUCCCAAUUUUUGAUAAGCUAGCACCCCGUGCGUGGGCC
rnacentral:lncRNA from 1 species